rnacentral:lncRNA from 1 species
UAUGAAGGGACUGUCAUGAUGCACUAGAUGUGAAGGAGGGGUGAAGUCAGGCGCAGGAGACCAAAGGUGAUAACACAGGACAGACAACACCAAACAAAAAUGAAAAGGGGAUCGGUGGCAGCUAGUAGGCCGGCGACAACGACCGCCGAGCGCCGCCUGAACAGGGAGAGGAGCCACCUUCAGUAGACGUUGUGACAGGGACGGAGGAGCAAACAUGCCUUUACCACCACUCGUGUGUGAUCCAUAGUUGGUUACUUGCAAAGGUGGGAUAAAGUCACUAUUAUUCGAGUCACAAGAAAGUCUGAAGUCACGAGGUCAAAGUCUCCAGUCGAGUCCCAAGUAAAACGGGUCAAGUUUCAAGUAAAGUCCAUGUCGUACAUUCUAAGAGCAAGUCAAGUCGAGUCACGUUUAUUCAAGUCAAGUCAAAAAUUGACAUGCAAUGACUUGUUCAGCCACUGUCAAAUUGGUAUGAAGAGAUUCGGGAGACAGGCGCAGGAAUGCGUAAUCAUUUUUUUAUUAAGCCCAAAUUACGGCAUGCCGUGGAAAGGCACAGGGACGAAGACCAAACAAACACGUAACAAAACACAGGGUAGAAACCCAAAACAAAAGAGCUAGGAGUACCUCAAAUAAAUAACACACGCGCACAAUGAUUAACACACGGGACGAGACCCGUAAUCAUCUGCAUAAUCCACCGGCACGAAAGCAGAGGUGGUACCAAGUCAUUGUUUUACAAGUCAGAAGUAAGUCUCAAGUCUUAGCACUCAAGUCACAAGUCAAGUCUCAAGUCCUAAAGUUUGAGUUUCGAGUCCUAAACAAGUUAUAAUGUGCUCUUCACCAAAUGUAAUACCAUUUCAUAUUUUUAAUAUGUCACGUCCUGACCAGUAAAGGGCUUAUUUGUUAUUGUAGUUUGGUCAGGACGUGGCAGGGGGUAUUUGUUUCGAGUGUUUAGGGGUUUGUUAUAUUAUGUGUUUAUGUAGAAGGGGUAUUUGUUUAGAGUGUUUCGUUUUUUUUGGGCUAUGUGUUUAUGUAGAGGGGUGUUGGUUUAGAGUGUAACGGGGUUUUAGGUUUAGGUUCUAGGUUAGUGUAUUCUAUGUUAGUUCUAGGUUGUUUACGUCUAUGUUCAGUUUAUUGAUUUGACCUUCAGUUGGAGGCAGCUGUUUCUCGUUGCCUCUGAUUGAAGGUCCUAUGUAUAGGGGCUGUUUUGUAUGGGGUAUUGUGGGUAGUUGUAGUUGUAUAGCUUUGUGUUUAGCCUGCAUCCUGUUCGUUUG